rnacentral:rRNA from 1 species
UACGUAGGGUGCAAGCGUUGUCCGGAAUUAUUGGGCGUAAAGAGCUCGUAGGCGGUUUGUCGCGUCUGCCGUGAAAGUCCGGGGCUCAACUCCGGAUCUGCGGUGGGUACGGGCAGACUAGAGUGGUGUAGGGGAGACUGGAAUUCCUGGUGUAGCGGUGAAAUGCGCAGAUAUCAGGAGGAACACCGAUGGCGAAGGCAGGUCUCUGGGCAUUAACUGACGCUGAGGAGCGAAAGCGUGGGGAGCGAACAGG